UACGUAGGGACCGAGCGUUGUCCGGAAUCAUUGGGCGUAAAGAGCGUGUAGGCGGCUCGCUAAGUCUUGCGUGAAAUCUCGGGGCUCAACCCCGAGCGGUCGUGAGAAACUGGCGGGCUAGAGUGCGGGAGAGGAGAGUGGAAUUCCUGGUGUAGCGGUGAAAUGCGCAGAUAUCAGGAGGAACACCGAUGGCGAAGGCAGGUCUCUGGGCCGAUACUGACGCUGAGGAGCGAAAGCGUGGGGAGCAAACAGG
rnacentral:rRNA from 1 species